UACGUAGGGGGCAAGCGUUGUCCGGAUUCAUUGGGCAUAAAGAGCGUGUAGGCGGCCAGGUAGGUCCGUUGUGAAAACUCGAGGCUCAACCUCGAGACGUCGAUGGAAACCAUCUGGCUAGAGUCCGGAAGAGGAGAGUGGAAUUCCUGGUGUAGCGGUGAAAUGCGCAGAUAUCAGGAAGAACACCUAUGGCGAAGGCAGCUCUCUGGGACGGUACUGACGCUGAGACGCGAAAGCGUGGGGAGCGAACAGG
rnacentral:rRNA from 1 species